AUCAGUUUAUAUCCCAUCAUUUCGUCUAUCAUCACCGCCUUAUAACUCCUCAGGGCAGGGUACACUUGAGCCUCUAGCAACGGUAAUAUUCUCAGGUUAAGGCAAAGCAAGAUGAUUGGUUGUAAUAACUACGUCCACAAAUUGUUGGUUUUGCAGAUGAUUUUAAAAGAAGGUGGAGGAGCUGGUUACUAUAAGCUGGGACAGAAGGUCUAUCUGAUUAGAUUGCACACAACAAUUAAUUUUGGUUAACCAGAUGCGUCUAUCAGUCGUUGUCUGGUGGGGAUGCAUGGUUCGUAGCAUGCGCCUUACGUGCUAGCUGUUGAGAGAGUUUGGGUAUCACAUGAUUCCAAGUAACAACAACAACAACAACAUACCUAGUGCGAUCCCACAAACAACAACAACAUACCCAGUGCGAUCCCACAAAGUGGGGUCUGGAGAAGAUAAAGUGUACGCAGACCUUACCCCGUCCUUGGGAGGUAGAGAGGCUGUUUCCGGUAGACCCUCAGCAUGUCCAGGAUUCCAAGAUUUUGGAGGGCCCCAGAAUCUGUAGAUGAGUUUUUAGAUUCACCCCAAUCAUGAAUAUUGCAGUCAGCUUGCCACAUCAUCUCUCAGACAGUGCUAUUCAAACGCAUCGCUUUGUCGCUUUAAGUGAUUGUUCCUUCAUGGAUGAAGCUAUACGCAUCAGAGAAGUGUGCGCUUCAAACAAUGAGACGCAAAGUGAUCCAAGCGAAAAAUGGAUCUCAAUUUUGUAGAGUUAGAUUAGUAUCGACAUCAUUGUACAUUGGAUGUUUGGAUUAGUUAUUAAUUGCAAUUUGAUUAUUAUCGUAUUAAUUUGUAUAUGUUUUGUAUUUUCAAAUUUUAUGUUA